ACUCAAAUGAAUAGACGGGGGAGCGCACAACCAGUGGAGCAUGUGGUUUAAUUCGAGACGAAGCGAAAGACCUUACCCAGAUUUGACAUGUACCUGCACAGUUAUGGAAACAUAGCUUUCUUCGAGAGUGGUACACAGGUGAUGCAUGGCUGUCGUCAGCUCGUGUCGUGAGACGUCCACUUAAGUGUGGUAACGAGCGCAACCCCUAUCGUAAGUUGUAUAUCUUACGAGACUGCCUACCAGCAAGGUGGGAGGAAGGAGGGGACGACGUCAAGUCAGCACGUCCCUUACAUCUGGGGCAACACACAUCCUACAAUGGCGUGAACAACGGGUCGCGACGGGGUAACCCUGAGCUAAUCCUAAUAAAACACGCCUCAGUUCAGAUUGAGGGCUGCAACCCGCCCUCAUGAAGCCGGAAUUGGUAGUAAUCGCGAAUCAGCAGGUCGCGGUGAAUACGUUCUCGCUCCUUGUACACACCGCCCGU
rnacentral:rRNA from 1 species